AGAAAGGAAUAGAAAUAGGGAGAAAGAAAAUUAUAGAGAGAGGAGGAAAGUUCUAGAGAGAGAGAAGGAGGUAGCCGCCGCUCCGGCCACGAGGAGUCCGGUUCCGGCCGAGCCUUCUUCAUGAAAUCUUCACAGAACUUAGAAGAGAACAUUCUUAACUUUUAGAUCAUCGAAAACCAUCAAGAAAUGAGGAAAAAUCUAAAGAGGAUUACGCUCAAAACCUGAGAAGGAAGUUGUAAUCGAUUCAGAUCGGAAAUGGGAGUUUCGGCGUUCGUCAAAGAGGAGAAAGGAGGAGGCUGCGCUUCGCCGGAGGAGAAGGGCCACGUGUCAAGCGUCCAUUGGAGAAGAAAAAAAAUCAAAGAAAUACUUCGCGUCGGGCGGGAUUCGAUGGCCGGCGGCCCGCUACUCGAGUUCGCGACCCGAUGACCCGCGCGCAACCCGGACCACCGACCCGGCUUCUCGUUGCCACGCGUCAGCGUAAAAGAAUUCGAAUUUCCAGCGCGUCCUUCCGGUUUCGAACCGACGACCUCGACCUCGGCUGACCGUUCAUCGGGGCGCCACGUGGCAACACCUCAGCGCGCGUCUCCCCUCCCUCAUGCGCGUCCGUACGCGCGCGUGGCCGUGCGCGUGUAGCUCCUUCCCAGGCGCGUGUGAGCGCGUGAGGGUUUAAAUGAGAAAAUUCAGUAUUUGUGGACACUCUACUGGUGUAGAAAUGCUCAACGAAGAACACGCGUCAAUCGGGUAAGUCACCACCUGGAACUUUAGGAAGAAAUACUUGCAGGAGUCGCUUGGUUAUGCAUGCAUGCUAGUUUAAUUACCUUAGGUGGUAUUUUUCCAUGAUUGAAUGUAAGUAAUUUGAUUGUUAAGAGUAUGGAUGUAUUAUGUGAAAUAUUACGAAAAUUAUCUGAGUGUUGCUAUUAUGUUCUAAGCUUCCGCUUUAUAUGUAAAUGUUUAAUUCAUGCUGAAAGGAGAAUAGGAACUUGUGAACUCUGCGCUCCGGGAUUUGACGGAUGUCAUGGCCCCGUUGAGCAUGUAUGUUUAUUUUGCAUGAUGAUGCUGGAUGAUAGUUGUGUGCACACUCAGUUAAUUUCCACGUCCCACGAGAAUGAUAAAGUCUAGGGAUAUGUGGUUAGAGUAACAAGACACUAAGGUAUAAGACCUAACAUUCCCCAGUAGGCUAACAGACCACCACGGCAUACGAGCCACCUCUAGAGUACCCUUAGGCUACUUGUGUGUGGAUGGUGAUAUAGCUUCGUGGGGGACCAGCGGGUUCCUGAUCAGGACUCGACUGCUCGAUAGCCGUUUAGUAUGGGAAACGGGAUACCCACGUCGUAAUUGACCGUUUAGCUGGAUGGAAUAGGGGAGGUAGCCCUCCCAAAUACAGGGGGAUUACCAUGGGGCUAGGGGGUUGCAGCUCACUUCCUAGGCAAGACCCCAAGUAAUCUCAUACCCAUGCCGAGGUAGCCACUCGCAAGGCACCAGUCCGACACGGGUUAGCAUAAAAGGAACUCUAGGGGUAUAAAUAGAAGAUCUAAGAACCAAAGAAGCCCGAAGGGGGCAAGUCCCUAGGGGGAAGCCCUAAUGAGCUAAGACCAGAAUCAGAUGAUCUAGAGCCAAAGGAAAGUCCGUGGUUGUUUGUUAAGUUUAGGGUGCGACGAGAGCCUACAAGUAGGUGGCUUACUGAGUAUAAUUUUUAUACUCAUUCCUUUUACCCUUUUUUUUUUAGGUGCUGGUCGAGGUGGAGGAGCGUUCGAGAGCUGUGCGGUCACAGAGGGGGUCGUUCCGGAGCGUCAGUCCCUUGUCGGUCUUUUCGAGUCUUUUGUGUUUCAUUUUACAUUUGUAAUUUUC